rnacentral:rRNA from 1 species
ACUCCUACGGGAGGCAGCAGUGGGGAAUCUUAGACAAUGGGGGCAACCCUGAUCUAGCCAUGCCGCGUGAGUGAUGAAGGCCUUAGGGUUGUAAAGCUCUUUCAGCUGGGAAGAUAAUGACGGUACCAGCAGAAGAAGCCCCGGCUAACUCCGUGCCAGCAGCCGCGGUAAUACGGAGGGGCUAGCGUUGUUCGGAAUUACUGGGGCGUAAAGCGCACGUAGGCGGACCAGAAAGUUGGGGGUGAAAUCCCGGGGCUCAACCCCGGAACUGCCUUCAAAACUAUUGGUCUGGAGUUCGAGAGAGGUGAGUGGAAUUCCGAGUGUAGAGGUGAAAUUCGUAGAUAUUCGGAGGAACACCAGUGGCGAAGGCGGCUCACUGGCUCGAUACUGACGCUGAGGUACGAAAGUGUGGGGAGCAAACAGGAUUAGAUACCCUGGUAGGAUAGCG